AGAGCGAACGCUGGCGGCAGGCCUAAUACAUGCAAGUCGAACGAACCCUUCGGGGUUAGUGGCGGACGGGUGAGUAACACGUGGGAACGUGCCUUUUGGUUCGGAACAACUCAGGGAAACUUGAGCUAAUACCGAAUGUGCCCCCUCCUUUAACCAGGGGGUGGGAAAGAUUUAUCGCCAUUAGAGCGGCCCGCGUCUGAUUAGCUAGUUGGUGGGGUAAAGGCCCACCAAGGCUACGAUCAGUAGCUGGUCUGAGAGGAUGAUCAGCCACACUGGGACUGAGACACGGCCCAGACUCCUACGGGAGGCAGCAGUAGGGAAUCUUGCGCAAUGGGCGAAAGCCUGACGCAGCCAUGCCGCGUGAAUGAUGAAGGUCUUAGGAUUGUAAAAUUCUUUCAGCGGGGACGAUAAUGACGGUACCCGCAGAAGAAGCCCGGCUAACUUCGUGCCAGCAGCCGC
rnacentral:rRNA from 1 species